CCGCCGGGCCUGCCCGCCUGAGCUGGCUUUAGGCGGCCGCCGGCGGCGCUUCCCUGUCGGUCCCGCUGAAGGAGCGGCCGCGUGGGCUGGCGGCACGGCCACCUCUCCGCUCGGCCGCGGGGCCUCCGGCCCGGUCCCACACGGGCCCGGUGGUGUUUCCCGGUGGGCGGCCGCGCUGGCGGGGCUGGGGGCAGCUCCCUCCCCGGCCGGGCGGCGGUGGGGAUCGCUCGCUGCUCAGGCCAGGUCGCGCCUGAGGCGCAGCGGGGUCCUGCGUGCCGUGCGGGCGGGGCCCCGGCCUCUGGCAGGUGAGCCAUGCUAGGCCCUUAAAGAAACCGCUUCUCACUGUUUGAAAGUGCAUAUAUAUACAACUAUGUAUUUUUUUUUUUUUAAAGAGUUACAGCGUUGCUCCUGCAAGGCCUUGCCGGGUCGGUGUCCCGUGAGGCUUGGCAGCAGCGCAGGGAGGGCCGCAGAGCGCUGCCUCCCGCCGGAGCCAUGCGGCCGGGCCCUUUGUGCCUCCUCUCGCUCCCUGUGCCAGGUGGCACAUCCAGCUGGGCGAGAAGCCUGCGGCCUGGGCACGGUAUGGGUUGAUGGCCUCAGCCCCUGGCGGGUGCCCCGUGGCCGCAGGGCUGGGACCAGGCCUCGCUGGAGGCACACGGCGUUUUGCUGCGGCCCUGCGUGGGGCAGGGCUGGCCUGGCCUGGCCACCCUUGGAGGGGACGCUGGUUCUGUACUUUCCAGCCCUGCCCCUUGCUGGUAGGUGUGCGUUGGUGGUCACCGCAUGGGCGAUGCCAUGUUCAGCCGAGCUGUUCCCUCUACCUGAGAUCUGACCGCAGCAUUUACUGCCCCAUAUGUGACCUGCUUUUGUGUUGGCAAGGUGGAAGUCUCACAUGGCCAUAAAGCCUAAGCCUGUAAGGGUGCAUAACCUGUUAUUUCUGCCUGCCGCCCUUUAAUUUCUAUCUGUCUUGCUGCCUUGUGCUCUACUGUGGAGCUACUUGUGCUCUACCCGUAUGUCAGUGGUGGUUCUCUGGACUUCUGCAGUUUCCCCUGUCCCAUGAGCCCACUGAGCAUGCCAACCAUCCAGCUCUUUCAAGGGAAGGAUUUGCAUGAAUUGCUGCCCAUGGGUGUAAUGGGGGAGGUGGGAAUGUGGUGCAGCUGCUGUGAGUGUGCAGCCACCAAAGCCCUGGGCCUCGCUGGUGUAAGUGAUGACUGAACUUUUUUCCCCAUCAGAGCGACAGUGUUGAUUUCUUACUGUUCAAGCCAGGUCACAUCUGAUGCACCAGCAGGGGAGUGCUGCUGUGUCCCACACUCCAGCAGGGCCUGGUGCUAACUGUUGUUCCCUUUGGUUUUACUCACAGCGUUCUGCAGAGGCAGUGGGGGUGUUGAGCCCCUGGGAGGCCUGAUGUGAUGGCUGUAGCUGAUGGAAAUAAGUAUGUGAUGAGGGCAUUUGCCUGGUUUGCUCCACCAUGCUUGAGCCUUCAGCAAGUAAAAAUGCAUUCUGCAGAGGCAGUGGGGGUGUUGAGCCCCUGGGAGGCCUGAUGUGAUGGCUGUAGCUGAUGGAAAUAAGUAUGUGAUGAGGGCAUUUGCCUGGUUUGCUCCACCAUGCCUGAACCUUCAGCAAGUAAAAAUGCAUUCUGCAGAGGCAGUGGGGGUGUUGAGCCCCUGGGAGGCCUGAUGUGAUGGCUGUAGCUGGCAGAGAUAACUCUGAGGUGCCUGGUUUGCUCCACUAUAUGUGUUCCUUGGACAAGGCUGUAAUGGUUGAGAUUUGUCAGAAGUUGUCCUGGGACCUGCUGUGAUUUCAGUGUACUAGCAGAAAGCUGUCUUCUGCUAAUGAUGUCCCUCUCCAUGCUGCUGCCUGUGAUCGUGAUCCCUUGUCCAAGCUACAGCAUUCACAUCACCCUGCAACAGCUCUGGUCUAUCCUCAGAGCUAGCAGGAGUGAUAAAUGUGUCCUGCCAGCUUAAGGGCGAAGGGUGUUAAAUUUUUCUUUCCCUUGGUAUGAGGCGUUUAACUGCAAUGGAUUCUGGAACUUGCCGCAUGUUUAAUGUAAUUGGAUGUUUUUGUCUGCAAGGGCUGCAUUCAUCACAACAGCUGUUGUUAUCCUACCAGGAUUAUUAAAAACAAGGAAUGCUCUCUUUGAAGAGCAAUUGUCAAGUAUGGGAGGAUGGCCUUCUGUGUAAGGAGGGGGUGGGAUUCAAGUCUUGGCUCUCCCCUGUUACCUGGAAAGGUUUGGAAAUAUAUUAUUGGCAGCCUGUGAAGUGGGGAAGGGGUGUCUUUGAUGCUGCAGCGCAGUGUACAUUUCUGUACUGUUUAGAGCCUAUUUUUAAUAAAAUAAGAGUACUGGGUAGAACUUG